UGCCGCAUGGCUGGGGGUGCUCCAAAGAGCCCACCUAGUACUUACAAGGCCCCAUCUCUCACUCAAUAAGGAAGCCCAAUUUGUUGUGUUGGUGAAGAAAUUGCCACCAGAUUAAAAAUGGCAAAUAAAUGCAAGAAGUCAAAAUACUGUACAAAGGGGGAAAUUACUUUUAGGUAUUUACUUACUGCUUUGCUGACUGGACAUUUUAACCAAAUGUAGCUUUCAGCUUCUGUUUAUUUUCCAGAAGUUUAUUUUCCUAAAACCAUUCCUUGGCUCAUGCAUCAAAGCAACCUUUUUCCCAAUUAAAUUGAGGACAGAGAGAGGUCAGUUUAUUCUUAGGAGAUUGACAAUCAAUAGAUGGAAUGAUAUUUAAUACAUAAAGAUGUAUUAUUUAGCUGUCAUAUCGAGUCUGUAUUGUAUAUGUUAUGUACGGUUACGUGUUUUACAGACUUUCUCUUUUGAUCCCCCCCACAGCUCUGUAAAAUCCCUAGUAUUAUGCCCAUUUAGCAGAUAAACUGAGACUCAGAGAAGCUUCAUUCUCACGACCCUGUCUAAGGUCCUACAGUGUGUAAGCAACAGACGUGAGACUUGGACCUCUGCUGGGCACCCAAAGGCAGGGCAGCGAACACUCCCCUCCACUCUGCGCCUCCGCAGAACACACAAGGCACCAUUUCACAAACACAGCAGGCACAGAGAGAAACUCCUGCAUUUUCAUCAUCAUGCACGGAAACCCCCCGACCUCAAGCCCAGAGAAGUGAGAUGCAUCCAGGUCUGUUUGCUGCCUGCAUGUUUCAUAAAUACAUCUAACAGGUAUGUCCCAUUUCUCCAGCUUGAGGUCAAAAUGGGCCCAGUUCUCUUUUACUUUUUUUUUAUUAUUUUUUUUAAAUUUCUUUGAAACAGAGUGUCACUCUGUCACCCAGGCUGGAGGUCAGCUGCUCACUACAACCUCCACUUCCUGGGUUCAAGUGAUUCUCCUGCCUCAGCCUCCUGAGUAGCUGGGAUUACAGGUGCCUGCCACCAGGCCCAGCUAAUUUUUGUGUUUUUUUGUUUUUUUGAGACAGAGUUACACACUGUUGCCCGGGCUGGAGUGCAGUAGCGCGAUCUCGGCUCACUGCAACCUCCGCCUCCCAGGUUCAAGUGAUUCUGCUGCCUCAGCCUCCCGAGUAGCUGGGAUUACAGGUGCAUGCCACCACACCCAGCUCAUUUUUUUUUUAAUUUUUAGUAGAGAUGGGGUUUCACCAUGUUGGCCAGGCUGGUCUUGAACUCCUGACCUCAGGUGAUCCACCCGCCUUGGCCUCCCAAAGUUCUGGGAUUACAGGCAUAAGCCACUGUGUGCAGCCCCAAUUUCCUUUUAAUGACCAAACUGACCUGAAGCUCCACUCCUAAGGACUGUGGGAAGGGGGUUUUCCCUGUCCAAGGAUUUUUUUUUCCCCCCCACCUAAAGAACCCUGGGAGCACCAGCUUACCCCAAGGCUGCCAGUCAAUGUCCAAUAGGAUAGCCACUAACUACAUGUGACUAUUUGAAUUAAUUAAAUAAAAUUUAAAAUUCAUUUCCUCAUUGUAUUCACCCACCUGGCUAGUGGCUACUGUAUUAGACAACACAGCUCUAAAGUCUCUGCUGCAUUAAGCCGGAGCCUCAGAAAGCUGCAAGCCUGGCUGCACCCCUCAUAGGCUCGCUGUCACUGGUUACGUGGAGGGGCCUCACAAGAAAGCCCCAUAACACCGCUGUCCACCUGCUGUGCUUACUCUAGGGAUCUUGAGUGCCGUUCAUUCAUGAAGCACAGUAGGUAUUGGUAGGGGUCUCCGUGACAAUUCACAUUAGUGGUCUGGGGUCCCCAAGCAAAUGCAACAGAGUAUGCAGACUUCUUUGGUCACCAAAUCAUCCUUUGAACUAGUUGAAGGCUGAAGAAGGUCUUUCAAUAUAAAGCUGGCCGAUGUGCUUUGAUUAUAAUACAGCACUCUGAAUAUGAGCACGUGGAAGACAUUUGAAGUGCAAUAGUGUGACUGAGUCUUGGCAAAAUCUUCUGAAAAGUCUGAUGGGUCACUUGUGCUGGACAGCUGGUGCUGAAAACCUGGCAGCUCACGAUAACACUAGAACUAAUGGCUGGGCACGGCAGCUCACACCUGUAAUCCCGGCAAUUUGGGGGGCUGAGGCAGGCAGAUUAUUUGAGGUCAGAAGUUCGAGACCAGCCUGGCUAACAUGGUGAAACCCCGUCUCCACUAAAAAUACAAAAAAAGUAGCAGGGCAUGCUAGCGCAUGCCUGUAAUUCCAGCUAAUCGGAAAGCUGAGGCAGGAGAAUUGUUUGAACCCAGGAGGUGGAGGUUGCAGUGAGCUGAGAUCACACCACUGCACUCCAGCCUGAGUGACAGAAUGAGACUCCGCCUCAAAAAAAAAAAAAAAAAAAGACUAGAACUAGAUUCCGUUGGCCCCCGGGACCAGGGGCCCAGAGGCACCUCUCUGCAAACACUGGAGACAGAGGACAAGUCCCCAGGUCCUGCAGCUGCUGAAACUUGUGGUAGAAGGGACAGGCCUCCGCUGAGCCGCUGAGGUCUACAGAACCUGAAGGCUGCCCAGCCAGUGCCACCCAGUUUUGCUACCACGAGCCCCAGUCUGAGAGAUCCUUCCCUUUCUGGGCACUGGGUCUAGAGAGGCAGCAGAAAAGCUUGCUUUUGUUCUACUCGCAUCUUUUCAAGGUCACAAGUUGACCUCCAUGUUGCUAAAUCCAACGGUCAGUUUCAAGAACUGUCUGCUGGGCUCAUCAACGUAAUUCCACACAGCGGGCCCCCUCCAGAUCUUUAGAACUCCUGUUUUUACUCCUUUGGAUCUUUAGAUGCCACUCCUUCUUGGUUCUCACCUACUUCCUUGGCCGUUCCUUUUCAGUCUCCUCUGCUGGUUCCUCCUCCAGCCCCCACCCUCUUUGUGUUAGAGGACCCCAUGGCCUGGUCCUUGGACCCCGUCUCUACCUACACCCCCUUUCCGGGUGAUUUCAUCCAGCCUCCUUGUUUUGAAUAACAUUUGUACUCUGAUGCCUCCCGAGUUACUACCUGCAGCCACCACUUCUCUCACCUCCAGACUCUGAUAGCCAACUGCCAAUUCCAAGUCCUGUAGAUGUGUGGUAGGAAUCUCCGAAGUUGUGUUUCCAAAACAAAAGUCUUGAUUGCAUCCUGCCUACCCAGACUGCUCCUCUGAAGUCUUCCCCAUCUCCAUAGGUACCAACUCCAACCUUCUAGUGCCUGGCCAAAAACCUUGCAGGCCAUUCUUGGCUCCUGACUUAGCCUACAUCCAAUCCAUCAGCAAAGCCUGCUGCCUCCAUCUGUAAAAUACACUCAGGAUCCAAACACUUCUCUGUUUCUUUCUCAUCACAUUCAUUGCUUCUACUCUUGUCCAAGCUACUAUUGUUCUCUUUUUUGACACAGGGUCUCACUCUGUUGCCCAGGCUGGAGUGCAGCAGUGCAAUCUCAGCUCCGCCUCCAGAGCUCAAGCUAUCUGCAACCUCCUCUUCCAGAGCUUAAGCGAUCCUCCCAUCUCAGCCUCUUGAGUAGUUAAUUGCACGCCACCAUGACCACCUAAUUUUUUUAGAGAUAGGAUUUCGCUGUGUUUCCCAGGCUGGUCUCAAACUCCUGGACUUAAGUGAUCUGCUCACCUCAGCCUCCCAAAGUGCUGGGAUUACAGGUGUGAGCCAUCACACCUGGCUCAUGAUCAUUCUUUUGCCCGGAUGAUUGUCCUGGCCUCCUAGCUGGUUUCCUGGGGCCCUUGCUUCCCAAAGUCCAUCUUCCAUGUGGCAUCCGGGAGCCGUCUCUCUGUUCCCGCCUCCUUGCUGAUCUCGGAACGCUCCAGGCCUGGUCCUACAUCAGGACCCUUUCAUUUGCCGUUCCUGACCAGGACUGCUUCUCCCCUAGAUGCCCACGUGACUUGUUCCCCCUUUCCUCCUGUUCCCUGAUCAAAUACCUGCCGAUUGACAAGGCCUUUUCAGAUUAGCCCCACCUGCUCACUUGCUUUCCUGCCUGUCCACAUAUUUACCAUCAGAACAGAAUUCUGCCUGUCCGUUUAUUGUCUGUCUCCCCCAGCAACCACUAGAAUGGAAGCUGCAUGUGGGCAUGGCUUAGUUUUGUCCACUGCUGGAUCUCAGCAUCCAAAACAGUCUACCACCUGGUGUCUCAGUAUGCUGGCUUGCGGCACAUCGGGCAAAUGAACCUAUCAGAUAACAACGGCAGAUCAGAUGCCUGAGCAUUCAGAAGCAACGGCUAUGGAGCCCCCGUGGGUUCAGAAGGCCUGGUUCCCGUCUCCAGAAGCCUGGCUCUCCUCCCUCCUGGGCCCACUACUUUGGCUUCUUGUUCCUACGUACAAGGAGUUGCCAAGAAGGCAACUCUUCCCCUCCCUGAAGCCAAAGGAAUGAAACAGACUAGGGCGGGAGAGGCGGCCAUCCGUCAUUAGUUGCGGCCAUCAGUAACAGCAACAGGACACGGAACCUAAGGCUGUAUCCACCCUGGGCCCCUAGGAAAACGUCAGCGGGAGCGGUACUAAGGAAGUGCUCAUCUCUUAGAGACAAAGGCCCAUGGAGGGGAACAGUAACCAUCCCCUCCCAAUUCAGAAAAUGUUAACAUAAGCACUUCAUUUCUCAUGCAGAUAACCACAUUAGUCUAUUAAUAAAAAAGAAAGAGAGAAAGAAAGAAAAAAAAGAAAAAGGAAUCCAUGCCAGCAGGGUAUAGGAAUUGCUGUAUAGGAGAAAGGGUCACCCACUGAAAGGUGGGCUGAAUAGAAUUCCUUGCCUGGGCUUUGAGGUCCUGGCAUGGAGAAGGCUGUAGAAAUGCUGGGAUCAGUGGAACCCUCAAUAAACAGAGUUCUUGUUAAAGAAUCACAGUCAUUGGUGGAAUGGACUGCCCAUCUAAGGUCAGUCUACACUAAAGGAUGGCAGAGAUCAAGAGAAAGAGAAAGAAAAAGCACCCAUGGCCGGGCAUGCGUGGUGGCUCACACCUGUAAUCCCAGCACUUAGGGAGGCCGAGGCAGGCGCAUCACUUGAGGUCAGGAGUUUGACACCAGCCUGGCCAACAUGUUCAAACCCCAUCUCUACUAAAAAUACAAAAAUUAGCCAGGCGUGGUGGCAGGCACCUGUAAUCCCAGCUACUCAGGAGGCUGAGGUGAGAGAAUUGCUUGAACCGGGAGGCAGAGGUUGCAAUGAGCAGAGAUUGCACCACUGCACUCCAGCCUGGGCACUAGAGUGAAACUCCAUCUCAAAAAAAAAAAAAAAAAAAAAGGAAAAAGAAAAAAGAAAAGCACCCAGAUCCUAGGACACAUAAAUACUUCCAACAUGAGGACCGCGGGGUAGCGCCCACGGGAGGUGCAGGUCACUGUCCUUAGCGGAACCCCUUCUCUACCUUGCCACACCGGCACUAAGCCCUCGAUCCUUCUGACAGACACGGCCACAUUUUUGUACAUGUUUGCAGCCAUCACUCCUUUCACUGUAGUAAGCUGUGCACUCAGCAUCACCCAUGUCUUUCUAUAAAUAGGAAGAAAGCUCAGAACAGCCCUCAGAAAACUGCAUGUUGACAGCACCCAGAGUCCUGGCUGGAAGAGGGAAGGGCACUCACAGAGCUGCUUCCCUGGAGCUGUGUCUCUCCCAACUGCCUUGAAGGAAUCUCUUGGGAAGGCAGUGACUUCUGGCCUCUGGGGACCUAAAGAAGCCAAGUGGCAAAGCGGUAUGAAAACUAAACCAAUUCUAGGUCCAGGUGCACAUCAAGGCAGUUUGUGGGGCACGUGGCAGUUCUGCUGAAACACAGUGCCUGCCCCUCGCCAACCUUCUCUCUCUGGCAGGAACCCCCUCCUUUGAGUUAAAAGUGUUGCAGACCCCAGGAAAUGCCUGAGAGACCUUGUGCCUUAACAGAGAGAGAUGUUAUGUGCACCGGAUCACCAACAUGCUUUGCAAAUGUUUAACGGAGAAGAUAGACAUGGGCCAGAUACAACACAAACAAGGCUCUCAGGCCACCAGGCUGAGUGAAGGUGCUAUACAGAGGCUUCUUGGCCACGUGGGGCCCCUUUGAGCCUAUGAGAGAUCCUAGGAGGGUAGUGGAGUGAGGACAGCAGAGGAGCACCAAAGACAAACUCAGCCCAUUUCACAAUUUUAUCGUGAGCCAGCCCUAUCUUAGCCCUCUUGUUUUGAAGAAAAGCCAAAUUUGUAUUUAAAAAAAUACUUAUGCCUGAUCCAUUCCCUAUUGUGAAAUAAGCACAUUUAUUACACAGAAGGAAACCUGAUGUCUCUCAGACCUUGAGCAGACUAUUUACAACAUUUGGGCUACAAGGCAAGGUGACCUUCAGACCACGAAGUGGCGAUGGCUUGCAUAGGGCAAGGCAGGGUCUCUGAGACAACGUGAGACACACAGGCCACCACUAUGUUUUAGGGGACCUGGGAUUUUGCAACAGGAAGAAAUAACAGGUUAGAAAAAUGCAUGCUUUAAAACAUUUAAAAUUUAAAAAUAGAAUGCUUUCACACACACACACACACACUGCAACACAAUAUAAUUGUGCCAUUUACUAGUAAUGAUAUAAACAUAUCUGAAUGCCCCUUUGAACACAAAGCACAGCUAAAUGCCCCACCUCCAGCAGACAGACCCUGAAGCAACACACCCCCAAGAAAACAAGUGACAGAUAUAUAUGAUAGAUAGAUAGAUAGAUAGAUAUUAUUUUUUUUGAGACAGAGUCUGGUUCUGUCUCAGAAGGGUCAGGUUGCCCAGGCUGGAAUGCAGUGGCACGAUCUCGGCUCUCUGCAACCUCCACCUCCCUGGCUCAAGCUAGCCUCCUACCUCAGCCUCCCAAGUAGCUGGGACGACAGGUGCAUGUCAGCAUACCCAGCUAAUUUUGGUAGAAAUGGAGUCUCACUAUGUGGCUCAGGCUGCUCACUACGAGCUCUGAAGAGCUCAUGCAAUCCACCCACCUCGGCCUCCCAAAGUAUUGGGAUUACAGACAUGAGUCACCAUGCCCGGCCGUAAGUGACAGAUAUUGACAUAAGCCCUGCAAUAGGAAUCUGAGACCCAGGAUUGGACAGGUCAACUAGCAAUGCUUCUAAAUACAAGUGAUCUGGCAAGCUGGUAAAAUGUCUGAGUUUCAUUCUUUACCUUGGGUCAAAGUUUCAUUCUUGAUUUGGAUCAAAGAGGAAGGAGAAAAAGGCACAAACUGAACCAUCAACUCUGUCACUGAAAAGUGGUCCCCUGGAUCUUAGUGCUUUGCCACCUUCUUGCCACCCCUAUAGUAAAAUGCUUUUUUAUUCUUUCUUAAAAAAUUUCUGUUAUUAUUAUUUUAUUUAAAUGGGGGUCUCGCUAUGUUGUCCAGGCUGGUCUCCAACUUCUGGCCUCAAGCAAUCUUCCCACUCCAGCCUCCCAAAGUGCUGGGAUUACAGACAUAAGCCACCAUGUCCAGCCAUGAUUUUUAAAGGCAGGCAUACUUUAUACUUUUUGUAUACACUUACAGCUCUGAUUCUUUUUUUAAACAUAUUUAUUUAUUUUUGUUGAGAUGAGGUCUCGCUAUGUUGCCCAGGCUGAUCUUGAACUCCUGGCCCCAAGUGAUCCUCCUGCUUCGGCCUCCCAAGUAGCUGAGAUUACAGGUGAGAGCCACCAUGCCUGGUUCAGGCUCUGAUUCUUAUGUCAGUGAAUGCCCAGUAAAUUCUUGUUGGCUUGAACUGAAUUAUCAAGAAGAUGCUAUCAAGAAUUCUUUGAGCCGGGCACGGUUGCUGAUGCUCGUAAUCCCAGCACUUUGGGAGGCUGAGGCAGGCAGAUCACUUGAGGCCAGGAGUUUGAGACUAGCCUGGCCAACAUGGUGAAACCUGGUCUCUACUAAAAAAUAAAAAAAUUAGCCAGGCAUAGAGAUGCACACCUGCAGUCCCAGUUACUCAGGUGGCUGAGGCAAGAGAAUUGAUUGAACCCAGGAGGCAGAGGUUGCAGUGAGCCAAGAUCACACCACUGCACUCCUGGGUGACAGAGUGAGACCCUGUUUCAAAAAAAAAAAAAGAA